rnacentral:lncRNA from 1 species
CUUGGUAAGUUUAAGUCGUCUCUUCAUAAGUUUUAUGGAUACUACGAGAACUUGAGAAACUCGUUACAAUAUACCUGUGGGAAAGAUGACCACGGAUAUAGAUAAGUUAUCGUUACGGCAACCUUACUUUGCCGUAUUUUUUAAUCAUUUGUAGUGAGUGUUUUCUCACGAUCAUGUUGCUGUCCAGAUUUCUUUUAUCGUCACUUGGAAUCUUAUUACUUUUUUUCUAUAAAGUUAGAAGCAACUGCUGUAGCUCUCUGAAAAUAGCAAAUUUAGAUAGUCGUUUUUCAGACUUAUGUUUUUCUCAUGAUUAUGUUGCAGUCCAGAUUCCUUUUAUCGUCCCUUGUAAUCUUCUGACUUUAAAAGGUUAUAUAAUGUUGUUAAAUAGUAGGAUUUCUGUGCUAGUUCUCUCUCUCUCUAUAUAUAUAUUUCCAUUUUUACGUUGUUGUUUUUGUAGACUAAUGUUUUUCUCAUGAUCUUGUUGCGGCUCAGAUUUCUUUUCUUGUACCUUUGAAUUUUCUUACUUAAAAAAAGUAAGGUUUGUGCUCUUGUUCUUUUUCUAUACAAUUCCUUUAUACAUUGUAAUUUUGUAAAAGGAUGUUUUUCUCAUGAUCUUGAAAUUGCGGUCCAGAUUUCCUUUAUCGCCCAUUUAAUUGGUAUCUUAUUACUUUUUCUAAAGUAGUAUAUUUGGAUUCUGAUCAAGAUAUAUUUGUAUAUUGUUCCUCAGUGGAAGCACGAUAUUUUUCUUUAAAUUUGCG